GAUAUAGUGCUCUGAGCAAUCAUUGGGUUAGAUCUGCUCUCUUCGCAAGAAGAGGGUUUCCAUACACACCGUGAACUGUGGCUUCGGCCAUCACAAACUGUUAGUAAUGAAUGUAAUAUCAUAACAAAAACAAAACUUUUAACAACGGAUCUCUUGGCUCUCGCAUCGAUGAAGAACGCAGCGAAAUGCGAUAAGUAAUGUGAAUUGCAGAAUUCAGUGAAUCAUCGAAUCUUUGAACGCACCUUGCGCCCUUUGGUAUUCCGAAGGGCAUGCCUGUUUGAGUGUCAUGAAACCUCACCCCACUUGGGUUUUUGCCUGAGCGGUGGUGUAUUGGGUGUUGCCUUGCUAAAGGCUCGCCUUAAAGACAUAAGCACCUUGGAUGUAAUACGUUUCAUCCUUCUGGGUGGCUGAUAACCCCACAUAUUCAUGAUCUGGCCUCAAAUCAGGUAGGGCUACCCGCUGAACUUAAGCAUAUCAAAAGGGGGGAGGAAAAGCUAUUGAUAGCGCCUUCUGAUUAAACCUCUGAUCAGGAAGGAUUACCCGCUGAACUUAAGCAUAUCUUAACACCGGAAACUGUGGCUUCGGCCAUCACAAACUGUUAGUAAUGAAUGUAAUAUCAUAACAAAAACAAAACUUUUAACAACGGAUCUCUUGGCUCUCGCAUCGAUGAAGAACGCAGCGAAAUGCGAUAAGUAAUGUGAAUUGCAGAAUUCAGUGAAUCAUCGAAUCUUUGAACGCACUUGCGCCUUUGGUAUUCGAAGGGCAUGCUGUUUGAGUGUCAUGAAACUCCCCCCUUGGGUUUUGCUGAGCGGUGGUGUAUUGGGUGUUGCUUGCUAAAGCUCGCUUAAGACAUAAGCCCUUGGAUGUAUACGUUUCAUCCUUCUGGGUGGCUGAUAACCCCCAUAUUCAUGAUCUGGCCUCAAAUCAGUAGGGCUACCGCUGAACUUAGCAUAUCUUU
rnacentral:rRNA from 1 species